CACGUUGAAACACCGGUUUUCGUACGAUCAACGAAGUUAAGCAACGUCGAACCUGGUCAGCAUGUAGACGGGUGACCGCUUGAGAAAACCAGGUGCUGUAA